AUUGAACGCUGGCGGCAGGCCUAACACAUGCAAGUCGAGCGGAUGAAGAGAGCUUGCUCUCUGAUUUAGCGGCGGGCGGGUGAGUAAUGCCUAGGAAUCUGCCUGGUAGUGGGGGAUAACGUCCGGAAACGGGCGCUAAUACCGCAUACGUCCUACGGGAGAAAGCAGGGGACCUUCGGGCCUUGCGCUAUCAGAUGAACCUAGGUCGGAUUAGCUAGUUGGUGAGGUAAUGGCUCACCAAGGCUACGAUCCGUAACUGGUCUGAGAGGAUGAUCAGUCACACUGGAACUGAGACACGGUCCAGACUCCUACGGGAGGCAGCAGUGGGGAAUAUUGGACAAUGGGCGAAAGCCUGAUCCAGCCAUGCCGCGUGUGUGAAGAAGGUCUUCGGAUUGUAAAGCACUUUAAGUUGGGAGGAAGGGCAGUAAGUUAAUACCUUGCUGUUUUGACGUUACCGACAGAAUAAGCACCGGCUAACUUCGUGCCAGCAGCCGCGGUAAGAC
rnacentral:rRNA from 1 species